rnacentral:lncRNA from 1 species
AUGUCAGACCACGGAGUGCUGCCGGGGCCAGGGGGACGGGGGGGCCACGUCAGACCACGGAGUGCUGCCGGGACAGGGGGACAGGGGGCCACGUUGGGCCACGUUGGACCACGGAGUGCUGCUGGGGCCAGGGGGACGGAGGGGCCACGUCAGACCACCGAGUGCUGCCGGGCCAAGGGGACAGGGGGCCACGUCAGACCACGGAGUGCUGCCGGGGCCAGGGGGACGGAGGGACCACGUCAGACCACGAGUGCUGCCGGGGCCAGGGGGACGGAGGGGCCACGUUGGGCCAUGUCAGACCACGGAGUGCUGCCGGGGCCAGGGGGAUGGAGGGGCCACGUCAGACCACGGAGUGCUGCCGGGCCAGGGGGGCGGAGGGGCCACGUCAGACCACUGCCGGGGCCAGGGGACGGAGGGGCCACGUCAGACCAUGAGUGCUGCCGGGCCAGGGGGACAGGGGGCCACGUCAGACCACGAGUGCUGCCAGGGCCAGGGGGACAGGGGGCCACGUCAGACCACGAGUGCUGCCGGGGCCAGGGGGACGGAGGGGCCACGUCAGACCACGAGUGCUGCCGGGGCCACAUUGGGCCACACCAGGCCUCGGGGUGCGGCCAGGGCCCCAGGUGCACAUUCCUGAGUGAAAACAGUCCUGCAUUCCCGUCGGGCGACGUGAGCCGGCUGGGGCCUGUCACAGCAUCUGCAGGGACCCGCGCCCUGCAACAGGAGCUGGCAGUGCAGGGCCAUGCUGGCCGCCGCGGCACAUGCCGGGCUGAAUGCUGGCGCUGGGGGCACUCUACUUACACAGGGUUGUGGUGAACCUAAAACUCCUAAAAAUACGGCCUAGGUGGCUGCUUUGCAAGUUCAAAGCAGAACGUGGCGGGGCCAGCGUCCCACAUGGACACGGGUCCCCGGCUGCUCCACUCCCGAUCCAGCGCUCUGCUGUGGCCUGGGAAGGCAGUAGAAGACGGUCCAGGCCCUGGACGCUGCACCCGCCUGGGAGACCCGGGAGAAGCUCCUGGCUCCCGGCUUCGGAUCGGCGCAGCCCGGGUGCUGUGGCCGUUUGGGGCGCGAACCAGCGGAUGGAAGACCUCUCUGUAGCUCUGCCUCUCAAACUAAAUCUUAAAAAAAAAAAAAAAAAGGCAAAAGAUGGAAGCGCAAGGAGGAAGCGGAGGGAGGGAAAGGAAAUGGGCUAAGCAGAAACCCGGCACAGGCCGACAGGGCUGGCAGUAACCGCCGACACCCGCAGUGCAGCCCAGUGCGCGGCGGGGCCGUGGUCGGCCCGCGGCGAGACGAGACCUGGUUCCCAAGAGUCGCCAACCGGCGAAUCGCCGCCCCCCGCCCCCCGCGGGGCCCACGCACGAGGUUACCUGCGAAGCUGCCACGCUCGGGGCCCGCGCUCCGGUGCCGGACGUGGCUGGUGCUUCGGGAUCUGCCCGCGCCCGGCGCCACAGCCCGCUCGGCCCGCCGCGGGACCCCCACGCCGCGCCACGCCCGGCCUCCUCGGGCGCCGGGUGCGCCAUCCCGGCUGCAUGCGCCACCAGGGUAGCGUCCCUUCCCCUCUCCCGGCUCGUCACUCCACCUCGGUCACAACAAUGGCUGACGCAAAGAAGCCUGCGCGCCGGGGCGCGGGAGCGGCCAAACGCGCCGCGCCUGUCCCCUCCGGGCCACCGUCCCCGGCCCGUCUUCCGGCUUACCUUAAAAAGCUCGCCGCGUCAUCGCGUAGGCGGGGGGGCGGGCUCAAGUCAAGCUGGCGGCGUCCAUUGGCUGUGCCGGGCCGAUGGAGGCGGGGCCAGGCCUCCGUGUGACGUCAGGACGC